GACGAACGCUGGCGGCGUGCUUAACACAUGCAAGUCGAGCGGAAAGGCCCUUCGGUGUACUCGAGCGGCGAACGGGUGAGUAACACGUGAGUAACCUGCCCUAGGCUUUGGGAUAACCCCGGGAAACCGGGGCUAAUACCGGAUAUGACCUGGUGCUGCUUGGUGUUGGGGGGAAAGUUUUUUCGGCCUGGGAUGGGCUCGCGGCCUAUCAGCUUGUUGGUGGGGUGAUGGCCUACCAAGGCGAUGACGGGUAGCCGGCCUGAGAGGGCGACCGGCCACACUGGGACUGAGACACGGCCCAGACUCCUACGGGAGGCAGCAGUGGGGAAUAUUGCACAAUGGGCGGAAGCCUGAUGCAGCGACGCCGUGUGAGGGAUGAAGGCCUUCGGGUUGUAAACCUCUUUCAGCAGGGACGAAGCGUGAGUGACGGUACCUGCUGAAGAAGCGCCGGCCAACUACGUG
rnacentral:rRNA from 1 species